rnacentral:tRNA from 1 species
GUUCAAAUAGUUUACCAUAAAACAUUAGUCUUGUAAGCUAAAAAUAAGAACCACUCUUUUUGAGC